UACAGAGGUCUCAAGCGUUGUUCGGAUUCAUUGGGCGUAAAGGGUGCGUAGGUGGCGCGUUAAGUCAGGUGUGAAAUUUCGGAGCUUAACUCCGAAACUGCAUUUGAUACUGGCGUGCUUGAGGACUGGAGAGGAGACUGGAAUUCAUGGUGUAGCAGUGAAAUGCGUAGAGAUCAUGAGGAAGACCAGUGGCGAAGGCGGGUCUCUGGACAGUUCCUGACACUGAGGCACGAAGGCCAGGGGGAGCAAAACGGGG
rnacentral:rRNA from 1 species